GGUUGACCUCGGAUUCAGGUAAGG
rnacentral:rRNA from 1 species